rnacentral:rRNA from 1 species
AGCAGCCGCGGUAAUUCCAGCUCCAAUAGCGUAUAUUAAAGUUGUUGCAGUUAAAAAGCUCGUAGUUGAACUUCGGGGUUUACUCAUUGGUCAGGCUUAAUUGUCUGUACUGGUGAGAUGAAUCUCUACCUUCUGAGGAACUUUCAUGCCAUUUAUUUGGUGCGAUUGGAAAUCAGGACUGUUACUUUGAAAAAUUAGAGUGUUUAAAGCAGGCUAACGUCUGAAUACAUUAGCAUGGAAUAAUGAAAUAGGACGGAUUGAUUCUAUUUCGUUGGUUUCUAGGGUCACCGUAAUGAUUAAUAGGGAUAGUUGGGGGCAUUAGUAUUCAAUUGUCAGAGGUGAAAUUCUUGGAUUUA